UCUCUCUUUUCUGUUGCACUGACUGGAAUAUAUUUGUGCAAAUAUCUAGUGCCUAGUACACUAGCAACAACUUUGCCAAGUUCAUAUACUGGACAGUGAAUUUGUAAGCAUCUGCUUUAAUACAUGGCCUGACUUUGGUUCACAGACUCUGGUUCAGGCCUCAGGUCUUGAGCCAGAUCCAGUGCUCCAGGGUCUC